UACAGGGGGUGCAAGCGUUGUUCGGAAUUACUGGGCGUAAAGCGCGGGCAGGUGGCCUUUUAAGUCCUUUGUGAAAUCCCGGAGCUCAACUCCGGAUGUGCAUAGGAUACUGGAAGGCUUGGGACUGGUAGAGGCGAGCGGAAUUCCUGGUGUAGCGGUGGAAUGCGCAGAUAUCAGGAGGAACACCGGUGGCGAAGGCGGGUCUCUGGGCAGUAACUGACGCUGAGGCGCGACAGCGUGGGGAGCAAACAGG
rnacentral:rRNA from 1 species